GGCUCAGUGGUGGAUGGUCCACAUCUGCAUUACUUACAGUUUCGUAGAUUUGUAAGCAGGUGCAGCCUGUUCGAUUCGGGCCUGAGCCA